AUACGUAGGGUGCGAGCGUUGUCCGGAAUUACUGGGCGUAAAGAGCUCGUAGGUGGUUUGUCGCGUCGUCUGUGAAAUUCCGGGGCUUAACUCCGGGCGUGCAGGCGAUACGGGCAUAACUUGAGUACUGUAGGGGAGACUGGAAUUCCUGGUGUAGCGGUGAAAUGCGCAGAUAUCAGGAGGAACACCGGUGGCGAAGGCGGUGCUGUGGGCGGUAACUGACGCUGAGGAGCGAAAGCAUGGGUGGCGAACAGGAUUAGAGACCCUGGUAGUCCAUGCCGUAAACGGGGGGCGCUAGGUGUAGGGGUCUUCCACGGCUUCUGUGCCGUAGCUAACGCAUUAAGCGCCCCGCCUGGGGAGUACGGCCGCAAGGCUAAAACUCAAAUGAAUUGACGGGG
rnacentral:rRNA from 1 species